rnacentral:rRNA from 1 species
GCUUAACCGUCAGGCGUCCGGGAGAAACUGCUAGACUUGGGAGCGGGGGAGGUUGGAGGUACUCCAGGGGUAGAGGUGAAAUUCUGUAAUCCUUGGGGGACCACCAGUGGCGAAGGCGUCUAACCAAAACGCGUCCGACGGUGAGGGACGAAAGCCAGGGGCACGAACCGGAUUAGAUACCCGGGUAGUCCUGGCCGUAAACGAUGCGGGCUAGGUGUCACAGUGGCUGCGGGCCACUGUGGUGCCGUAGAGAAAUCGCGAAGCCUGCCGCUUGGGAAGUACGGCCGCAAGGCUGAAACUUGAAGGAAUUGGCGGGGGAGCACUACAAUGGGUGGAGCCUGCGGUUUAAUUGGAUUCAACGCCGGGAAGCUUACCGGGUGCGACAGCUGGAUGAAGGCCAGGCUAAAGACCUUGCUGGACUAGCUGAGAGGAGGUGCAUGGCCGUCGUCAGUUCGUACUGUGAAGCGUCCUGUUAAGUCAGGCAACGAACGAGAUCCACGCCCACUGUUGC